GACAGAGGGUGCAAACGUUGUUCGGAAUUACUGGGCGUAAAGCGAGUGUAGGCGGUUUCCUAAGUCAGGUGUGAAAGCCCCGGGCUCAACCCGGGAAGUGCACUUGAAACUGGGAGGCUAGAGUAUCGGAGAGGUUGGUGGAAUUCUCGGUGUAGAGGUGAAAUCGUAGAUAUCGAGAGGAACACCGGUGGCGAAGGCGGCCAACUGGACGAAUACUGACGCUGAGACUCGAAAGCGUGGGGAGCAAACAGG
rnacentral:rRNA from 1 species